GUCUUUGUAGUAUACUGAUUAUGCUGGUCUUGUAAACCAUUGAAGGAGGACCACACCCUCCCUAAGACU
rnacentral:tRNA from 2 species